GGAUCGGAUUUCAGCGUUGAUCCAAAUAUUCCUGUAAAUUUGUAAUAUAGUCUAAUAAUGUCUUUUUUAUAUAGCCUGUUGCUUCAAUUUUACAACGAGCUUUUCCACGAUGUUUGUUUAUUUUCUAUAUACUGCAGCGCUAGACUCGUGCACUUGCUUUAAACAAUUAAUAUUUAACACGAUAAUACAAUAUAAUCAAUUAAACACGUCAAAAUCACGCAAAGACAAACUUCACUACAAUAAAUUUACUUACAUUGACGUAUCCAGUUUCGAAGACUGAUUUUGUAAGCUUUUGGGACAGCAACGGAACUAUGGACAAGAACCGCGAACCAUAAACACACUCGAAGUAACAUAAUAAACCACGCACACAAGUGCAUAACAAAUUGUCUGGAACGGACACAACACGAUCGGAAUAUAACCUUUGUGUUUUAAUUUGUGGUCAUUUAAAGAAGCUCUGAUCGGGGCGUGAUUUAUAACACAACUUGAAUAACCUUUUCUUGAUGUCUUCUCAGAGUGUCAGACAGUGACUCGGAUUGCUAAGAAAUAUACCUUCCCAGUAUAUAGG
rnacentral:lncRNA from 1 species